AUGCAGCUUGUCCUAGGCCAGCGGUGCCACCUCGUACUGGCUCUAUUCAUCCUACUGCAGCUGGCCGAGGCUUGCUCGGCCGCCGCCGGCAACAACGAGACGGACCGCGCCGCUCUGCUGGCGUUCAAGCACGCCGUCUAUGGAGGCGGCCACGCCGACCCGCUGAGCUCCUGGAAUGACUCCUUGCCCUUCUGCCGGUGGCGUGGCGUCUCGUGUCACGCUGGCAAUGGCAGAGCGACCGCGCUGGUGCUCGCGUCGUUGGGUCUUGCCGGCGCUAUCCCUCCGGCACUCUGGAACCUCACCUUCCUCUCGUCUCUUCAGCUGCCGGACAACGGGCUCACAGGGGAGAUACCUCCGUCCGUCGGCAGUUUGCGGCGCCUCCGCAGGCUGGACCUCUCGGGCAACCUGCUCGCUGGGGCCAUGCCGGCAGAGGCGGCCCUGCUCACAAAUCUGACGCACCUCGAUCUCUCUCGCAAUCUGCUCGUUGGCCCUAUCCCACCCAGGCUCGGCCGUCUCGGCGGCGCUCUGGUAAAUCUGAACCUCUCCAAGAACCAGCUCAUGGGGAGCAUACCGACCUCCCUCGCCGGGCUGCCUUCGUUGCAGUGGAUCAGCCUUGGAAACAACAACCUCACCGGCAGCAUACCACCGCUGUUCGCCAACAUGACGGCCCUCAUCGGAUUCUCCUUCAAGUACAACAACCUUCGCGGUAGCCUGCCGGAGGACAUAGGCCAGUCCAGGAGCCUGCAGUACAUAGAGGCGGCCGGGAACGAUCUUAUUGGCGAGGUCCCGAUGUCUAUCUACAACGUCACCUCCAUCAGGAUGAUCGAGCUGUCUUACAACUCAAUAUCGGGGAGGCUCCGCCACGACAUCGGAGACCUGCUCCCGGAGCUCUACUUCCUCAGCAUGUUCGGCAACGAGCUCGUUGGACGGGUCCCAGCGAGCCUGGCGAACGCGUCGACAAUGCAGUGCAUCGCCUUGGGCGAGAACAACCUCGUUGGCGUGGUGCCCGCGGACCUUGGCGAGCUCAGGGAGCUCCUCUAUCUGAGCCUGAGCUUCAACAUGCUGCAAGCCAGCACACCUAGCGAGUGGCAGUUCGUGGACGCCCUGACGAAUUGCAGCAAGCUGCGUGUGCUCCACAUGUUCCACAACGAUCUCUCCGGCCAGCUGCCGGCGUCGGUUGCCAACCUGUCGACGGAGCUUGCGUGGCUGGACUUCGCGUACAACCGGAUAUCUGGGACCAUCCCCUCCGGUAUCGGCAAGCUGACGGGGCUGACAACCCUCCGGUUCCAGGCAAACAACUUGUCUGGGGUCAUCGCGGAGUCCACGGGCCUUCUAACUGGCAUGUUUGAGAUGCUCCUGUUCGGGAACCGGCUGACCGGCACGAUUCCGUCGUCGCUCGGCAACCUCACCAAGCUGACGCAGCUCGAGCUGAGCGAAAACGAGCUCGUUGGCGAGGUGCCGCCGAGCUUAGCGGGUUGCCGGGGCCUCGCCUACCUGAGUGUCGCCGGGAAUCGGCUCACUGGCACCAUUCCAGCUCAGGUCUUCACCAUACCGGCAAUGUCCUACAUCCUAAACAUGUCCAACAACUUCAUUUCCGGCGAGGUGCCACUGGAGGUUGGCCGCCUUCAGAGUCUCCAAACCUUGGAUCUCUCCAAUAAUAGAUUGACUGGUGCGAUCCCCGCAACGAUCGGCCAGAGUCAGGUGCUUCAGAAGUUAUAUCUCCAGGGCAACCUGCUCCGCGCUGGCGUCUCGCCGUCGUCAUUCGGGAGCCUCAAGGGCCUGGAGGAGCUGGACAUGUCCCGCAACCACCUGUCCGGCGACUUCCCACGCUUUCUGCAAGACCUGCCGUACCUGCGCCUCCUGAACCUGUCCUUCAACCGUCUCGCCGGUGAGGUGCCGGUCAAGGGAGUCUUCACCAACACGACGGCCGUCGACCUCACCGGGAAUAGCCAUCUAUGUGGUGGCAUUGGGGAAUUGGGCCUGCCACCCUGUAUAACUACAACCAACGCGGCGAGGGAUAGAUCGCUUGCUCUGAAACUGGCCGCUCCUAUGGCAUGCACAGCCUUCGCCAGCGUUGUCGUUUGGGCCUCUGUGGUGGCUUGUCGCCGGAAAAUGGCUCCGCCAAAAGUGGCAAAUCCAUUGGAGGUGGAGGAGUUGCACUGGAAAGUCUCAUACACGAAGCUCUCCAACGCGACCAACGGGUUCUCUCCGGACAACUUGAUUGGCGCCGGCUCGCACGGAUCGGUGUACCGAGGCAGCAUGUCCCACGAGGGCAACGAGUGUAUCGUGGCCGUGAAGGUCCUCAGCCUCGGGCAGCGAGGCGCGCUCGCAACCUUCGCCGCGGAGUGUGACGCCCUGCGGCACGCCAGGCACCGCAACCUCAUCAGGAUUCUGACCGUGUGCGCGAGCGUGGACGGCAGAGGGGAGGAGUUCAAGGCUCUGGUGUACGGCUACAUGCCCAACGGGAGCCUGGAGAGGUGGCUGCACCACGAGACCAGGACGCUGACCCUUGUGCAGCGGCUGAACAUCGCCGUGGACGUGGCGUCGGCGCUGGAUUACCUUCACAGCGACUGCGAGGCGCCGAUUGCGCACUGCGAUCUGAGGCCCAGCAACGUUCUUCUCGACGACGACAUGGUUGCCCGCGUCGGCGACUUCGGUCUCGCGAGAUUUCUCGGCGGCGCUGACCCGAGUGGCCAAGCCAGCUCCGUGAUCCUCAAGGGUUCCAUCGGUUACAUUGCCCCAGAGUACGGGAUGGGCGAGAAAGCAUGCGCCGGCGGCGACGCGUACAGCUACGGGAUUCUUCUGCUGGAGAUGUUCACCGGGAAGAGGCCUACCGACGCUAUGUUCUUGGAAGGGCUGACGCUCACGAGGUUCGUCGAGGAGGCCUGCUCCGGAGGCGGCAUCUUGUCCAUCGUCGAUCCGCGGCUGCUCGCCGAUGUAGGUGGACACCAGCCGCAGGUUGAGCGUUGCCUGGUGUCAGUGGCGAGGAUCGGCAUAUCGUGUGCGAGUGAGCUGCCGGUGCAGCGGACCGGUAUGAAACAAGUGGUGAAUGAGGUUGAGAAAGUCCGAACAUCUCUCUUGGAUUCUCAGACGCGAGCGUGA
rnacentral:rRNA from 1 species